UGAAGCCUACACGUGUCCCUUGGUAAUUACGUGUGCUUGUCUGAUCUUCCCAACUUCUCUUUCUAAAAGUCGGUCUCAUCCAUCCAUCCAUCCAUAGGAGAAAUCUUCUUUUGGGAGAAGAUGAUGAUUUACUCAUAGGAUGAGAUCGUUGAAUGGAAGGUUCUACAAACUUUUCCCGGCAGAUUUCUCCGACCGUUCCGGCGAGAGGCGGUGCUCUAAUUGCAAACUCCGUUACAGCCAUGCCGAUACAGGGAAGUUGUUAUCUGUUGACUCCUUUGUUGUUAAGUUGCAAGUGCCUUUGUGGUGGUAUUAUGCAAUUUGAUAAUAUGGUUUUUAGCGUUGAUCUAAUUUGGUUUCGUGAAAAGCUCCAACAGGCUAUGAUGAUAGUGGUGAAAUGUUGCUAGGCAUGGCAUAAUCGAGGACGGCAGGUGUAAUGUUUUUCACCUGCAACCCGUGUUGAAGCCAUGAUUAUCAAACAACUAGAUCUGAGCCUAAUCUGCAAACAUGGUUGCAUAAAUUCAUAAAAGGGGAUUGAUUAGCUUUGUUCUGUAUUUUGUGUGUUCUUUUUAUUUAUUUAUUUAUUUGUUCAUAUGGAAUUGUGGUCGCUGUUUAAAAGCAUUUACAACAAUAAUGAUUUCAAUAUGUAUGCUAUACCAUUAUGUUUAUGUUUCUUAAAGUUUAUGAGUAAGUUCGAUUCUUUAAAGGGGUUUGCUUGCUAUUCUAUUUGCAGCAAGCUAAUAUCUGGUCACGUGUUUGAGCUCGCCACCAAAACUACCGUAGACUAAUCCCUCGCUCAAACACAUCAAUCUCUAUUCUGCAGUGCAUUUUCAGCUAGGCUUUGACUUAAAAAUUAUGUUGAUGUCUAUGAUUGGUAAAUUAGAGCUUAAGUUGAGUAUCUGUAAUUUUCAAUCAUAUUUCAUAUCUCAAAUGUUGCCCACUCCCCGGAGACGUGUUGUUUUAUUCCAACAAUGAAAAAAAUACAUGUAACGGAGAGAAAGAGAAGGAGAUGCGAUAUGCAUCCAGUUUAGGGUUUCGGGUGACCCCCGACUUUGACUGGAGAUGGUAAUGGAGGGUUAAAGCCUUAGAGGUGGUAUACAAAGUGUGUGUCAGCGAUGGCGCAGCGGUUAUCUAGGGGUCUGACCAAGGGGUUUACUAGAAGUGGAACCGGUUAGUACUAAGGUUUCCGUCAGCUUUGUGGCUUGAAGUAGUUUCGGGCAUUCAUGCUAACCAUAAAAGGCCUUGGCAGUUCCCUCUUAAAAAACAGAUUUUAUGGGGUCCCGAAGGAUAUCGGGUCGGUUGAGAAAGAUUUUACAGGUUUUAAUUUAUCCAUUAAGAACAAUCUGCUGAGGGUAGUGGGGAACCGGUACAAAAUUAAAUUUGGUUAAGACUAUUGGCUAGAAGGUUGUCAACUCAGGAGCAGGCUUCCAGCUGUAUUUAAUUUAGUGGAAGAUAAAGAAGCAUGGGUGGCUCAAUGUGGGUACCAGUUGGGAGGGGAUCGAGAUGAUUUGGUUAUGGGAUUGGAUUUCAGGUAAGUUAAGAAUAUCGAAUGGAAGAAGUAUAAGGAUCUUAUGGAUUGUCUGAGCUCUCUGAAAAUCAGCGAGUAAUCAGAUAAGUGGGUUUGGAAACCGAGUAAGGAAGAGUCCUUUUCAGUGGUGGGUGUUCGGGAGGAUCUUAAAAAAGUUUACGCACCCAAUUUGGGAUAUAGGAUGGGAUCGGUGGAACAGUUGGGCUCCAGCAGAGCUGAACUACUUUAUGUGGAGAGCCUUCGACGAGAGAUGCGGGAUAGGGACUAAGACAUGCGAUCAUCUCCUUUCUUCUUGCAUCAUUGCCCAGUCGAUAAAAAUCCUGAUACCAUCAAAUCAGUUCUCAACUAAAGGUUUAUGGGAUCUCUUGGGGAAAUGUAAGGGUUCCAAGUAGUGGAAGAAAGUGGUGGGCAUUGUCUUUCUUCCCACAUUCUGGGCUAUAUGGACGCACAGGAAUGAGCUGCAAUUUAAUGGGAGAAACGAGUCGAUUGCUAAGGCAGUGGAUGCGAUUAAGGAGAUGUCUCUGGUUUGGGUUAGGUGUGGAUCUAAAUUAAAAGAGCUUGAUUGGGGUAGGUGGCGUGAGUUCAAUGUAAGGGACGCGACCCGUGUGUUUUGUUUUUUGGGUGCCAGUGUUGCUUACUGAAUGUUGAUAUGUUCAAAAAAGAAACUAAGGUUUUGGUAGUUUUGUUAUCGGCGGAAAUCUCCAGAUAGCCGAUGCAGUAAUCAUUAUUUCCGAUAUCUUUAGGGAACUUGCUGUCUGGAAGCACCAAGUGGAGUGACCACUAUUGUGUGUAGCUUCUUACUAAUACUUUAAAAUGUAGAAUCCUGCAAGAGAAUAAAUAUUCACUUCGCUAACAAUUAUAUGUUUCCCUAGAGAAGGAAUUAUAAUUUAGUACGCAUAAAGACACUUCCUCUAAUUAUAUAUAAAACUUACAGGUGUCUUGUGUUGGUGGUUUUGGUUCCAAUUCCUACAUGUACAAGAUUAAUGAAACUGCAAAUAUCUUGUACAGCUGAAAAAGGCUGGAGCUAAAAUGACUUCAUUAAUUUUAUAUUUUUUGCAUCAGUCAGUGAAGCAACAAGUGAUAAAAGGCUCAUGGAAUAUAACUUGAAACAUAAUAUCUAAAUGUGUAGUACAUUUAAAAAAAUUGCAUCUAAAUGUGUAGUUUAUUUCAAAUUUUACUUUUACUAUUAGAAGAUUUGUUUAUAUAUUUGCUGUUGAGUGUGGUGUUAUUUUUGCUGUUGAGUGUAGGAUGGUGAAUUACAUUGUACAAAGA